UACGGAGGAUCCGAGCGUUAUCCGGAUUUAUUGGGUUUAAAGGGUGCGCAGGCGGGAUGUUAAGUCGGCGGUGAAAUUUUGCAGCUCAACUGUAAAAGUGCCUUCGAUACUGGCUUUCUUGAGUGUGGAUGAAGUAGGCGGAAUUUGUGGUGUAGCGGUGAAAUGCUUAGAUAUCACGAGGAACUCCGAUUGCGCAGGCAGCUUACUAAACCACUACUGACGCUCAUGCACGAAGGCGUGGGGAGUCAAACAGGAUUAGAUACCCGGGUA
rnacentral:rRNA from 1 species